rnacentral:rRNA from 1 species
AUACGUAGGGGGCGAGCGUUGUCCGGAAUGAUUGGGCGUAAAGGGCGCGUAGGCGGCCUGUUAAGUCUGGAGUGAAAGUCCUGUUUUCAAGAUGGGAAUUGCUUUGGAUACUGAUGGGCUUGAGUGCAGGAGAGGUUAUCGGAAUUCCCGGUGUAGCGGUGAACUGCGUAGAGAUCGGGAGGAACACCAGUGGCGAAGGCGGGUAACUGGACUGCAACUGACGCUGAGGCGCGAAAGUGUGGGGAGCAAACAGGAUUAGAUACCCUGGUAGUCCACACUGUAAACGAUGAAUGCUAGGUGUAAGAGGUAUCGACCCCUUUUGUGCCGGAGUUAACACAAUAAGCAUUCCGCCUGGGGAGUACGGCCGCAAGGUUGAAACUCAAAGGAAUUGACGGGG